GCACUGCGAAUCCGGCAUUACCCUUUAAGGUGUAAAAAGUACCCUCUUUUUUCUAGUAUAUGAAGCUGUCAAAAUAAAGGGUACUUGUCAAUUUUUGAAAAAGAGUAAUUUUUUCCCUUCUUCGAAUUCCGACCGUGUACUCUGUAAUGAGUGAAAUAUUUGUUAAACAUUUUCGAGGUGCGUCUACAGAUGAUGCUUGUGAUUUGCUGAUUUUUGCGGGAUGCCGACAGCUCCGAGUGUGAUUCUGGACCUCCGCUCGAGCCUCCACCUGGAUCAUAGUUGGGUACAGGAUUCAAUCAACCAGAUGCUGGAAGAAAGGUUAUCCGCGGCUCUUUGGCGAAACCCACAUACAUAAUUAAGAAGUAAAAUAACAGGAAUGAAUAAAUAUUUCGCUAGAAGUA